rnacentral:rRNA from 1 species
UCCAGAGACUGCAAGCGUUAUUCGGAUUCACUGGGCGUAAAGGGUGCGCAGGUGGCCAGGUGUGUUAGGCGUGAAAGCCCGGGGCUUAACCCCGGAAUUGCACCUAAAACUACUUGGCUAGAGCAUUGGAGAGGGGAGCAGAAUUCAUGGUGUAGCAGUGAAAUGCGUAGAUAUCAUGAGGAAUACCAGAGGCGAAGGCGGCUCCCUGGACAAUUGCUGACACUCAGGCACGAAAGCGUGGGGAGCAAAAGGG